rnacentral:rRNA from 1 species
CCUACGGGUGGCAGCAGUGAGGAAUAUUGGUCAAUGGACGCGAGCCUGAACCAGCCAAGUAGCGUGAAGGAUGACUGCCCUAUGGGUUGUAAACUUCUUUUAUAAAGGAAUAAAGUGAGGCACGUGUGCCUGUUUGAAUGUACUUUAUGAAUAAGGAUCGGCUAACUCCGUGCCAGCAGCCGCGGUAAUACGGAGGAUCCGAGCGUUAUACGGAUUGAUUGGGUUUAAAGGCAGCGUAGAUGGGUUGUUAAGUCAGUUGUGAAAGUUUGCGGCUCAACCGUAAAAUUGCAAUUGAUACUGGCAGUCUUGAGUACAGUUGAGGUAGGCGGAAUUCGUGGUGUAGCGGUGAAAUGCUUAGAUAUCACGAAGAACCCCGAUUGCGAAGGCAGCUUACUAAACUGUCACUGACAUUGAGGCUCGAAAGUGUGGGUAUCAAACAGGAUUAGAUACCCGAGUAGUC